rnacentral:rRNA from 1 species
AGUCAUAUGCUUGUCUCAAAGAUUAAGCCAUGCAUGUCUCAGUACAAGCCAAAUUAAGGUGAAACCGCGAAAGGCUCAUUAAAUCAGUUAUGGUUCCUUAGAUCGUACCCACACUUACUUGGAUAACUGUGGUAAUUCUAGAGCUAAUACAUGCAAAUAGAGCCCCGACCGGAGACGGAAGGGGCGCUUUUAUUAGAUCAAAACCAAUCGGUGGCGGUUCGCCGUCACCGUACUCCUUGGUGAUUCUGAAUAACUUGUUGCUGAUCGCACGGUCUCGAACCGGCGACGCAUCUUUCAAAUGUCUGCCUUAUCAACUGUCGAUGGUAGGUUCUGCGCCUACCAUGGUUGUAACGGGUAACGGGGAAUCAGGGUUCGAUUCCGGAGAGGGAGCCUGAGAAACGGCUACCACAUCCAAGGAAGGCAGCAGGCGCGCAAAUUACCCACUCCCGGCACGGGGAGGUAGUGACGAAAAAUAACGAUACGGGACUCAUCCGAGGCCCCGUAAUCGGAAUGAGUACACUCUAAACCCUUUAACGAGGAUCAAUUGGAGGGCCAGUCUGGUGCCAGCAGCCGCGGUAAU